UAAGGAAUAUUGCUCAAUGGGAGAAAUCCUGAAGCAGCAACGCCGCGUGGAGGAUGAAGGGUCUAUGACUUGUAAACUCCUGUAAAGAAGGAAAAAAUUCCCAUUUGAUGGGAGAUGAUGGUACUUCUGGAGUAAGCCCCGGCUAACUACGUGCCAGCAGCCGCGGUAAUACGUAGGGGGCAAGCGUUGUCCGGAUUUACUGGGUGUAAAGGGUGCUCAGGCGGAUUUGUAAGUCAGAGGUGAAAUCUUACAGCUUAACUGUGAAACUGCCUUUGAUACUGCAAGCCUAGAGUAUGGAAGAGAGUGAUGGAAUAUCUGGUGUAGCAGUGAAAUGCGUAGAUAUCAGAUAGAACACCCAUGGCGAAGGCAGUCACUUGGUCCAUUACUGACGCUAAAGCACGAAAGCGUGGGUA
rnacentral:rRNA from 1 species